CAGCCGCCGCGGUAAUACGUAGGUCCCGAGCGUUGUCCGGAUUUAUUGGGCGUAAAGGGAGCGCAGGCGGUUUAGUAAGUCUGAAGUUAAAGGCAUUGGCUCAACCAAUGUAUGCUUUGGAAACUGUUAGACUUGAGUGCAGAAGGGGAGAGUGGAAUUCCAUGUGUAGCGGUGAAAUGCGUAGAUAUAUGGAGGAACACCGGUGGCGAAAGCGGCUCUCUGGUCUGUCACUGACGCUGAGGCUCGAAAGCGUGGGCAGCGAACAGGAUUAGAUACCCCUGUAGUCCCUGUCUCUUAUACA
rnacentral:rRNA from 1 species